UACAGGGGGUGCAAACGUUGCUCGGAAUUAUUGGGCGUAAAGCGCGCGUAGGCGGCCACUUAAGUCGGAUGUGAAAGCCCCUGGCUCAACUGGGGAAGUGCACCCGAAACUGAAUGGCUUGAGUGCGAAAGAGGGUCGCGGAAUUCCCGGUGUAGAGGUGAAAUUCGUAGAUAUCGGGAGGAACACCGGUGGCGAAGGCGGCGACCUGGGUCGACACUGACGCUGAGGCGCGAAGGCUAGGGGAGCGAACAGG
rnacentral:rRNA from 1 species